rnacentral:rRNA from 2 species
UACGAAGGGGGCUAGCGUUGUUCGGAAUCACUGGGCGUAAAGCGCACGUAGGCGGAUUGUUAAGUCAGGGGUGAAAGCCUGGAGCUCAACUCCAGAACUGCCCUUGAUACUGGCAAUCUCGAGUCCGGAAGAGGUAAGUGGAACUCCGAGUGUAGAGGUGAAAUUCGUAGAUAUUCGGAAGAACACCAGUGGCGAAGGCGGCUUACUGGUCCGGUACUGACGCUGAGGUGCGAAAGCGUGGGGAGCAAAC